rnacentral:rRNA from 1 species
AUGCCUUACACAUGCAAGUCGAACGGCAGCACGGACUUCGGUCUGGUGGCGAGUGGCGAACGGGUGAGUAAUAUAUCGGAACGUGCCCUGGAGUGGGGGAUAACUAGUCGAAAGAUUAGCUAAUACCGCAUACGAUCUAUGGAUGAAAGUGGGGGAUCGCAAGACCUCAUGCUCGUGGAGCGGCCGAUAUCUGAUUAGCUAGUUGGUGGGGUAAAAGCCUACCAAGGCAUCGAUCAGUAGCUGGUCUGAGAGGACGACCAGCCACACUGGGACUGAGACACGGCCCAGACUCCUACGGGAGGCAGCAGUGGGGAAUUUUGGACAAUGGGGGCAACCCUGAUCCAGCAAUGCCGCGUGAGUGAAGAAGGCCUUCGGGUUGUAAAGCUCUUUUGUCAGGGAAGAAACGGUUCUGGCUAAUAUCCGGAGCUAAUGACGGUACCUGAAGAAUAAGCACCGGCUAACUACGUGCCAGCAGCCGCGGUAAUACGUAGGGUGCGAGCGUUAAUCGGAAUUACUGGGCGUAAAGCGUGCGCAGGCGGUUGUGCAAGACAGAUGUGAAAUCCCCGGGCUCAACCUGGGAAUUGCAUUUGUGACUGUACG